GACGAACGCUGGCGGCGUGCUCAACACAUGCAAGUCGAGCGGUAAGGCCCUUUCGGGGGUACACGAGCGGCGAACGGGUGAGUAACACGUGGGUGACCUGCCCUCAGCUCUGGGAUAAGCCUGGGAAACCGGGUCUAAUACUGGAUAUGACUCCAUGACGCAUGUUGUGGGGUGGAAAGCCUUGUGCGGCUGAGGAUGGGCCCGCGGCCUAUCAGCUUGUUGGUGGGGUGAUGGCCUACCAAGGCGACGACGGGUAGCCGGCCUGAGAGGGCGACCGGCCACACUGGGACUGAGACACGGCCCAGACUCCUACGGGAGGCAGCAGUGGGGAAUUUUGGGCAAUGGGCGCAAGCCUGACCCAGCAACGCCGCGUGAGGGAGGAAAUCCUUCGGGAUGUAAACCUCACAAGCAAGGGAAGAGAGCUCCGGACCGAAUAAGUUCGGAGUCCGACGGUACCUUGCGUAAGCCACGG
rnacentral:rRNA from 1 species